rnacentral:rRNA from 1 species
UGGGGAAUAUUGCACAAUGGAGGGAACUCUGCUGCAGCGACGCCGCGUGAGUGAUGAAGGACUUCGUUUCGUAAAACUCUGUUCUAUGGGAAGAAAAGGACUGUACCAUAGGAGAAAGCUCCGGCUAAAUACGUGCCAGCAGCCGCGGUAAUACGUAUGGAGCGAGCGUUGUCCGGAAUUAUUGGGCGUAAAGGGUGCGCAGGCGGCUUUACAAGUUGGAUGUGAAAUAUUGUGGCUCAACCACAAACGUGCAUCCAAAACUGCAAAGCUUGAGUUAAGGAGAGGUAAGUGGAAUUCCUGGUGUAGCGGUGGAAUGCGUAGAUAUCAGGAGGAAUACCGGUGGCGAAGGCGACUUACUGGACUUAAACUGACGCUCAGGCACGAAAGCGUGGGGAGCAAACAGG